rnacentral:rRNA from 1 species
AUAGACCUACGGGACGCAGCAGUGAGGAAUAUUGGUCAAUGGGCGGAAGCCUGAACCAGCCAAGUCGCGUGAGGGAAUAAGGCCCUACGGGUCGUAAACCUCUUUUGUCAGGGAGCAACGCCGGCUACGUGUAGCCGGACUGAGAGUACCUGAAGAAAAAGCAUCGGCUAACUCCGUGCCAGCAGCCGCGGUAAUACGGAGGAUGCGAGCGUUAUCCGGAUUUAUUGGGUUUAAAGGGUGCGUAGGCGGAAUGCCAAGUCAGCGGUAAAAUCGCGGGGCUCAACCUCGCUCCGCCGUUGAAACUG